AUGAUGGUAGCGGGAGAGAUUACCGCCGAGAUUGACAGGUAACGCCGAAGGAGUAAGCCUUUCAAGGUGAAUCUCUCAGGCAAAAGGACCUUUACCGGACG
rnacentral:ncRNA from 2 species